AUUGAACGCUGGCGGCAGGCCUAACACAUGCAAGUCGAGCGGAUGAAGGGAGCUUGCUCCUGGAUUCAGCGGCGGACGGGUGAGUAAUGCCUAGGAAUCUGCCUGGUAGUGGGGAUAACGUCCGGAAACGGGCGCUAAUACCGCAUACGUCCUGAGGGAGAAAGUGGGGGAUCUUCGGACCUCACGCUAUCAGAUGAGCCUAGGUCGGAUUAGCUAGUUGGUGGGGUAAAGGCCUACCAAGGCGACGAUCCGUAACUGGUCUGAGAGGAUGAUCAGUCACACUGGAACUGAGACACGGUCCAGACUCCUACGGGAGGCAGCAGUGGGGAAUAUUGGACAAUGGGCGAAAGCCUGAUCCAGCCAUGCCGCGUGUGUGAAGAAGGUCUUCGGAUUGUAAGGCACUUUAAGUUGGGAGGAAGGGCAGUAAGUUAAUACCUUGCUGUUUUGACGUUACCAACAGAAUAAGCACCGGCUAACUUCGUG
rnacentral:rRNA from 1 species